rnacentral:rRNA from 1 species
UACGUAGGGUGCAAGCGUUGUCCGGAAUUAUUGGGCGUAAAGAGCUCGUAGGCGGUUUGUCGCGUCGGCUGUGAAAAGCCCGGAGCUCAACUCCGGGUCUGCAGUCGAUACGGGCAGACUUGAGUGUUGCAGGGGAGACUGGAAUUCCUGGUGUAGCGGUGAAAUGCGCAGAUAUCAGGAGGAACACCGGUGGCGAAGGCGGGUCUCUGGGCAACAACUGACGCUGAGGAGCGAAAGCGUGGGGAGCGAACAGG